GCACUGGUGGUGUAGGGGUUAAGCGCGCGACCAUGCGCAGAGGCUAUAGUCCUCGGUGCGGCUGUCCCGGGUUCGAGUCCCGGACUCGAAUGUC